rnacentral:tRNA from 1 species
UUUAGGUCAGCUAAUAAAGCUAAUGAGUUCAUACCUCAUAAAUGGAUUAUUAUUAUAUUAAAU